UGUUAUACUAGUUCUUAUUUUAUUUUCUAUAAAGAGACAAACAUUCAUUAUAGAAUCACAAAAUCUAUAUAGUAAGUGGUGCUGGUGCCCUGAAGGAAAAUGUAAGGCACUGUAAUUACACUUAGCAAGGGCAUCAAAUCCCAUGAGGAGCACAGGGGAGUUUCACUAAGGAAUGACUCCCAACCCCCAAACCUGGAGAAUGAAUGGAAGUUAGUGACACCCUGGGGCCUGCGGAGGAGUUCCGCAAAGGUCCUGAAGCCAGUUGAGAAAAUGGAAGCCGGCUCGCAGGCGGGAGGACGGAGGGAGAGAAGGUCCACGCUGAGACAGAAAAUGUGGCAGUUGCAUCAGUCCUUAUAGGAUUUCACCCUUAACAGUGGAAAGAAAAUGGAAAAUUGGAAGCAAGAGGAACACAUCAUCAAAUUUGAAUCCACACCACGGCAGUUUGGAAACCAGAAUAGUGAGGGAAAGAACAAAUAUGGAGACUACCUAGGCGGUAAUUCAGGAAAACAGAAAACAGUGAUUGGAGUUGGUGUAAGGUGGUGGCAAUGAAGAUGAAACUUUUAAAAAGCAGGCUGACCCAAGAGCUGUGCUACACUGGAGAGACCCUCGCUACUGGAGGGCAAGAGUCCUGUAUAUGGAGUCUGUAUCCUCAGUCAUUAGCACAGUCGUGUGGAACAAAGGGAGACUGGUGAAUCUAGGUGAAUGCAAAUGAAAGAAGACCUGCUUCACCAGAAGAGCAACAUGCAAAGCAUCCACAUGUUGGCCACAGUUGGGCAAAGAUUUUACAGGAAGCACGGCGCUGGCAUCUGCUUGGCUGCUACAGAGGCCUCAGGAAGUUUGCGAUCAUGGCAGAAGAUGAAGCCAGAGCAGGCGUGA
rnacentral:lncRNA from 1 species